UGGGGAAUAUUGGGCAAUGGGCGCAAGCCUGACCCAGCAACGCCGCGUGAAGGAAGAAGGCUUUCGGGUUGUAAACUUCUUUUGUCAGGGACGAAGCAAUGACGGUACCUGACGAAUAAGCCACGGCUAACUACGUGCCAGCAGCCGCGGUAAUACGUAGGUGGCAAGCGUUAUCCGGAUUUACUGGGUGUAAAGGGCGUGUAGGCGGGACUGCAAGUCAGAUGUGAAAACCACGGGCUCAACCUGUGGCCUGCAUUUGAAACUGUAGUUCUUGAGUGUCGGAGAGGUAAUCGGAAUUCCUAGUGUAGCGGUGAAAUGCGUAGAUAUUAGGAGGAACACCAGUGGCGAAGGCGGAUUACUGGACGAUAACUGACGCUGAGGCGCGAAAGCGUGGGGAGCAAACAGG
rnacentral:rRNA from 2 species